AUUGAACGCUGGCGGCAGGCCUAACACAUGCAAGUCGAACGAGUGGCGGACGGGUGAGUAAUGUCUGGGAAACUGCCCGAUGGAGGGGGAUAACUACUGGAAACGGUAGCUAAUACCGCAUACACUCGGAUGUGCCCAUAUGGGAUUAGCUAGUAGGUGAGGUAAUGGCUCACCUAGGCGACGAUCCCUAGCUGGUCUGAGAGGAUGACGAGCCACACUGGAACUGAGACACGGUCCCGACUCCUACGGGAGGCAGCAGUGGGGAAUAUUGCACAAGGGGCGCAAGCCUGAUGCAGCCAUGCCGCGAGUAUGAAGAAGGCCAUAGGGUUGUAAAGUACUUUCAGUCGGGAGGCGUUACCGGCAGAAGAAGCACCGGCUAACUCCGUGCCAGCAGCCGCGGUAAUUC
rnacentral:rRNA from 1 species